UUUUAUGAGAGUUUGAUCCUGGCUCAGGACGAACGCUGGCGGCGUGCCUAAUACAUGCAAGUCGAACGCUUCUUUUUCCACCGGAGCUUGCUCCACCGGAAAAAGAGGAGUGGCGAACGGGUGAGUAACACGUGGGUAACCUGCCCAUCAGAAGGGGAUAACACUUGGAAACAGGUGCUAAUACCGUAUAACAAUCGAAACCGCAUGGUUUUGAUUUGAAAGGCGCUUUCGGGUGUCGCUGAUGGAUGGACCCGCGGUGCAUUAGCUAGUUGGUGAGGUAACGGCUCACCAAGGCCACGAUGCAUAGCCGACCUGAGAGGGUGAUCGGCCACAUUGGGACUGAGACACGGCCCAAACUCCUACGGGAGGCAGCAGUAGGGAAUCUUCGGCAAUGGACGAAAGUCUGACCGAGCRACGCCGCGUGAGUGAAGAAGGUUUUCGGAUCGUAAAACUCUGUUGUUAGAGA
rnacentral:rRNA from 1 species